rnacentral:rRNA from 1 species
CAGCGCCUCAAGUGGUCAGGAUGAUUAUUGGGCCUAAAGCAUCCGUAGCCGGCGCUGUAAGUUUUCGGUUAAAUCUGUACGCUCAACGUACAGGCUGCCGGGAAUACUGCAGAGCUAGGGAGUGGGAGAGGUAGACGGUACUCGGUAGGAAGGGGUAAAAUUCUUUGAUCUAUUGAUGACCACCUGUGGCGAAGGCGGUCUACCAGAACACGUCCGACGGUGAGGGAUGAAAGCUGGGGGAGCAAACCGGAUUAGAGACCCGAGUAGUCC